CUUGGGAUUCGAACGGCAGGCGGGAAGUGCUCUAGCAGGGGAGUCUGACCUUGUGAGGGAAUACCUGUGUCCCCCCUUUUUUCCCCUUUUUACCCAAUAAAACCCUGCCUUACUCACCCUUUAAAUCAUCUGCGAGCCUGAAUUUUCAUGGCCGUGGGACGGACAAGAACUUUAUCUUCAGCUGAACUAAGAAAAAGUCCUGCAACAUUUUUGGCGCGCAAUGUGGGGGCACCAGAAGCGGGCACCGUUGAGCUGUUGCAACUGUUCUGCUGGAGCCUUAUGUAUGUGGUUGAAACCACCUGUACUACUGGAAUGAAAGCACCUUUACAGAAGAGGCAAUGCAAGUUGUAUUCAUCACAUGUGUAGAAUGAAUUAAGAUUUAUGCCAGUUGCAAAGAAGAAUAUUGGCUCACUAUUUUUCCUCUGGGCAUGUGGAAAUGUAAAUCAGUCCAUGUUACUCACCUCGGAGAAGCAGAAGUACGAUUUACUAUUGUUGCUUGCUUACUUACUCUUAUCAAUUUCUAUGAGAGGAAGAAACUUUAUCUCAGACUACCCUUGAUGUAUCAAAAUAUUUAAAGCAAUUGGCAAAGGCAGUGAGCAAUUCACUCUCAGGCACAUGAAUAUCACCGGGAGAGGGCUGAAUGUUCAGGGGUACAAGCAAUUUUCCAGUCUUGACCCUUUAUCUGUUGACCAAGCUAAGGCAGAAACCAGCUAAAUUCUGGAUUUAAUCUUGAGCAGCAAAAAAGAUCAGCUUUUGAAGUGGAUCUGCUUUUAUUCUUGGCAAAAGUUCAGCGGAGACCAACCAGAGUGGUGACAAAGUUCUUCAACAUCAAGCCAAAUGUAAUACAAGGAAUUACGGAUAGUGCUUAAUCUAAAAUAAAGAAAUUCCACAUCUCCCUAAAAAGUUAUUGGCUUCAAGAAUGAAAACAAAAGAAGCAUAUUUGUCUCAAUCCAAACACAGACACCAGAAAGACAAACCAGGAGUAUACAGCAAAGUAGCUUGCAGGAUAAUACAUUGAAAAAUGUAAUUGUGCAUAAAUCAUGCACAAAGUAGAAACCACAAAUUCUGUAUUUGGCAAGGCUUCGGUUCCUUUGCAUAAUUCUUUCAUUUUCAUCUUGCUGCUUCCAUUCUCUUUUCAUCAAAAAAAGCUACAUAAAACAAAGACAUAAACUGUAUGCAAUUAAAAUGAGAAAAUAGCUGAAAGGAAUGUAUUGAUAAUUAUGUUAAAAUCUAUACCAUAAGUAUUCUUGCAUUGUUAAGCAUCUAAUUUUUCAUGUGUUGACAUCAGCAUCUCAGUUCUCUCUAACAUCUGAAAGCUUUUUUUUUUAAGGCAACUUCUUUUAGAGUGAACAAACUUAUGUACCACCGAGUUGACAAAAGUAUAACUAUAUCCUACAGAAAGAGACCUCAAGUAAACCUCCAGCAGCCAUCUGGACUUCCAUGAAAACAGAACAAUCAGUGAGAUGCAGAGCUUGGAGGAGACAGUUUCCAUAGACUGAAGCACGUGCUGAAGCAAAGUUCACACUUGCAGGAUUAGAAGAGGUUGACCGAAAGAAGGAAGGACAUGGACAGCUAUGUUGUUGUGGAGUCCUGUUUUAUAGUCAUAACCUUGAGUCAAGUGAGUUUGUCUGGACAGACAGAGCUUGUUGCCUUUACUUAUAGGGAAGGCACCGGACACAGACAGCCUCAAGGACAUUUGUUCUAGCCUUUCAGUAUCCUUUCUCUUAAUUAUCUCACCUCAUCCAUGAAGCUGGUAUGUACGAUUUUUCCUUUCUUUCUCAAUCCUUUAAAAAAUUAAAGCUCUAAAUCUCAUUUCCACUUAGAUUUUAAUGUUGCAUUGUAACUUAAGAUAAAACCUUGCUCUGAUGUUAAAAAUACUAAAGUAAGAAGCAAUAUGGCAUAGUGCUUAUGAGCAGGACUACAUAGUUCUUUCUGAAUACAAAUCUCAGAUAAAACACUAUCUCAGUGAUCAACCAGGUUAAGCAACCUUUUUAGUGCCUCAAUUAUUCCAUUUGUAAAAUUGUAAUAAUGAUAGUACUAACCUAUAAGAUUGUGGUGAGGAUUAAGUCAGAUAAUACAAAAGAAGCAUUUAGAGUAUUUCCUGGCAUUAUCUACCAUUUAUUGAAUUUUUAUGGUUAAGAAGAAUAAGGAAAAGCAGAAGAAAAGGAAAAGAGAAAAAAUACAUAAGAAGAAGGAAGAGUGGUAAGCUCUAGUAAAUUACAACAAACGGUAACGUAGAAAACAUUUGUUAGCCCUUAAUAUAGGCCAGGCACUGUGUUCAAUGCUUAAACCUCAUUACUGUUCUUUGAAGUGGAUAACAUUAUUCCUUCCAUUUUAAAGAAAGGAAUACUAAAGACAACUUUGUCAAUAUUAUUCAUGUAAUAAAUGACAGAAUUUGACCAAGACAAUAGAGAAUGAACUCUUAAUCACUAUAUUGUUUUAUUUUUUGAAAAUAGAUUUUAAGUUCUUAUUAAAUGUUAAUGACUCACAUCAAAAUAAAGCCAAUCAAAAUUGACAGCAAU
rnacentral:lncRNA from 10 species